rnacentral:rRNA from 1 species
GGGAUUUGCCAAUGGGCGCAAGCCUGAUGCAGCCUGCCGCGUGUGUGAAGAAGGCCUUCGGGUUGUAAAGCACUUUCAGUCAGGAGGAAAGGUUAGUAGUUAAUACCUGCUAGCUGUGACGUUACUGACAGAAGAAGCACCGGCUAACUCCGUGCCAGCAGCCGCGGUAAUACGGAGGGUGCGAGCGUUAAUCGGAAUUACUGGGCGUAAAGCGUACGCAGGCGGUUUGUUAAGCGAGAUGUGAAAGCCCCGGGCUCAACCUGGGAACUGCAUUUCGAACUGGCAAACUAGAGUGUGAUAGAGGGUGGUAGAAUUUCAGGUGUAGCGGUGAAAUGCGUAGAGAUCUGAAGGAAUCCGAUGGCGAAGGCAGCCACCUGGGUCAACACUGACGCUCAUGUACGAAAGCGUGGGGAGCAAACAGGAUUAGAUACCCUGGUAGUCCACGCCGUAAACGAUGUCUCUAGAAGCUCGGAACCUCGGUUCUGUUUUCAAAGCUAAACGCAUUAAGUACCCCGCCUGGGGAGUACGGCCGCAAGGUUAAAACUCAAAUGAAUUGACGGGGGCCCGCACAAGCGGUGGAGCAUGUGGUUUAAUUCGAUGCAACGCGAAGAACCUUACCUACACUUGACAUACAGAGAACUUACCAGAGAUGGUUUGGUGCCUUCGGGAACUCUGAUA